rnacentral:rRNA from 1 species
UACGUAGGGUCCGAGCGUUGUCCGGAAUUAUUGGGCGUAAAGAGCUCGUAGGCGGUCUGUCGCGUCGGCUGUGAAAACCUGGGGCUCAACUCCAGGCCUGCAGUCGAUACGGGCAGACUAGAGUUCGGUAGGGGAGACGUGGAAUUCCUGGUGUAGCGGUGAAAUGCGCAGAUAUCAGGAGGAACACCGGUGGCGAAGGCGGGUCUCUGGGCCGAAACUGACGCUGAGGAGCGAAAGCGUGGGGAGCGAACAGG